rnacentral:rRNA from 1 species
GACGAACCGUGCAAACGUUGUUCGGAAUCACUGGGCUUAAAGGGCGCGUAGGCGGGCAAGCAAGUCCGGGGUGAAAUCUUUCGGCCCAACCGGAAAAGUGCCUUGGAUACUGCUUGUCUGGAGGGAGGUAGGGGCAGAGGGAAUUUCCGGUGGAGCGGUGAAAUGCGUAGAGAUCGGAAAGAACACCAACGGCGAAAGCACUCUGCUGGGCCGACACUGACACUGAGAGACGAAAGCUAGGGGAGCGAAUGGG